ensembl:misc_RNA Metazoa_SRP Metazoan signal recognition particle RNA
GCCGGUCACUGUGGAGCGUGCCUGUAGUCCCAGCUACUGGGGAGGCUGAGGUGGGAGGAUCACUUGAGUCCAGGAGUUCUGGGCUCUAGUGCGCUAUGCCGAUCUGGUGUCUACACUAAGUUCAGCAUCAAUAUGGUGACUUCCUGGGAGCAGACGACCACCAGGUUGCCUAAGGAGGCCCAGGUCGGAAACGGGGCAGGUCAAAACUCCCGUGCUGAUCAGUAGUGGGAUCAUGCCUGUGAAUAGCCACUGCCUUCCAGCCUGGGCAACACAGCGAGACCUGUCUUUA